ACAGUCUGUACUCUCUAGGCUUGCACUAGUAAAUAUGACAUCUUUGUGAUUGGUAGAAAACAGCUCACUUAAGAAACUAUUCUUCUUUCCGAAUGGAUCAAUUGGAAAAUGUUCCCUUUCUUGUGAGCCUUGCUCACCAGGCUCUUCAGGUUGGUGAACAAAGCACAAAUGGGAUGUUAGCCCCUAUUCACUACCUCUCAGCUGUAAACCCUUGGGUGGGGCACAGCUUGCCCAACUAUGUGUAACAGUGCAGUUCCUAUUGUGCCAUGCACAUUACUGGACAUGGGCCGGGGUCAGAAGUUGUCUGUGUACAGACAGAAUUUGUCCUAGCAUCCCCCUUGCAGGAGGUACAGGAGGUCUGCAGUGAGCAAAUUGGUACCCAGGUCCAACGGGGAGGGUGGACACAUGCUGAGGCCAGCAUUAAAUCAGUGAGAAUGUGGUGGCUAUAGUGAGCCCUGAUGUCUGGGCAAGAGGUCUGUGAUGGCACAUAAUUAAUCCUUGCGUGCAGCCAAGGAGCAUGGCCAGGCACAGCUUGUUCUAGCACUUACGAUGGCACUUGUCUAAGAAAGGACACAGAUCUCAAUGUCCUUUCUGCAGGUUUGGAGAAAGGCAGCCUGGGAUGACUUCAAGCCCGGGGCCUCCCAAAAGCAUCUCUGAUAAUGUACUGCUAACUUGUUGAGGAACCAACUGAACUCGUCUCUAGUUGUCAGCUCCUCCCAGCUCGGGAGCUUCAGGAACCUUUUAGUUCAUGCUAUUUAAAAAUGACCAUAAUCAUGAGUCAUGUGAUGACAUGUGCUGAGCCUUUAGAGCUUAACAGAACUUGUGGAGGAUUUGCUUUAUUUGAUCCACCCAGUGACACUGUGGAGGAAACCUGCGCUGGCCUUAUCAUCUAUGUUUUACAGUUGAGGUGAGGAAACAAGCCAGGAUUCAAACUCCAGUCAGCCUGGCACCAAGCCCAGAUUCCUGCCUUUCCUGUCACUGUAGGACUUCUUAACAGCUUUGCAGAUGAUGAUCAUUCUCACCAUCAUCCAAAUAUUAGUAAUCAUAAUAAUUAUCAUUGAUUCUUCAAAUACUAAGAACUGUAAAUAUGGUCUUAUUUAAUGCUUACAGCAGCUGCAUUAGGCAUGGAUUAUGAUGUCUGAUCUGCAAUUGAAGAAAAGGAGCAUGGUGUGGAGGCAAAUUCCUUUAAUCCCAGCACUUGGGAGACAGAGGCAGGUAGAUCUCUGUGAGUUUGAGGCUGACCUGGUCUACAGAGCAAGUUCCAGGACGGCUGGGGCUACAUAGUGAAAUCCUUGUCUCAAAAAACAAAAGAAAACAAAAGCAAAUGAGGAAACGGAUAUCCCAAGUAGGUCAAUCCCUUACCCAGGGAAAGAUCAAUGGGGUGGGGCGUCAUUCUUCUGAUGAAUACUCUGAAGUCUCUGGUUCUGAAGCUAGUGUUGAUUUUACUCGGAUUUGCUUCCUGGUGUGAAUACUAGGCUCAUAUUCAAGGAUGCUCUAACAGCUCUGAGGACUCAGCAGGCAGACCAAACUCUGGCUCUGGGAAGGGCCUAUAGCAGUAGGACAUGUAAAGCAAGGGCUUGCAAAAUAGUAGGCAGACCCUUUAAUUUGGAACCACAGUUGGAUGGGACUCUCUGAGGAUACUUUCAGGCCCCAUGCAUGCAUGCUCAGGUUCACUACAGUUAGGGUGUUUACUGGGGGUAGACGGUAUCUAAGCAGGCAGGAGUACACAGGACUGACUUUACGUAAGUAGAGUCCAUGGAUGUAGAAUCAGAGUGACUAGAAACGCAAGGGAUGUGUUUAAAGCCAGGGACCAAUCAGUUGGGCUAAAACAGACAUGAGCAGGAAAGCACUUCUAAAGGUAAGGACCAUGAUUGGAUCAAGGAUGUGUCGCAGAUCUCUUUAGGCAUGUCCAGCCUUUUGACUUUAUGACAUGAUGUCAUCUACAAACUUCACACAGGGGAACCAUGUAAACAGAUGUUUACAAAACAAUGCAAAAAAAAUCUCAGCUGGGGAGAAGGCUCAUUUGGUAAAGUGCGUGCUAUGUAAGCAUGAGACCUCUGUUGAUGCCCAGAAGCCAUAUAAAAAGCUAAGCAUGAUGGCGUGAUCUGGUGAUCACAGUGCUAAGGAGACAGAUUCCUGGAGCUCACUGGCCAGCCAUCCUGACAAAUCAGCGAGAGGCCCCAUCUU
rnacentral:lncRNA from 1 species